GAUGAACGCUGGCGGCGUGCCUAAUACAUGCAAGUCGAGCGAACAGACGAGGAGCUUGCUCCUCUGACGUUAGCGGCGGACGGGUGAGUAACACGUGGAUAACCUACCUAUAAGACUGGGAUAACUUCGGGAAACCGGAGCUAAUACCGGAUAAUAUAUUGAACCGCAUGGUUCAAUAGUGAAAGACGGUUUUGCUGUCACUUAUAGAUGGAUCCGCGCCGCAUGAGCUAGUUGGUAAGGUAACGGCUUACCAAGGCAACGAUGCGUAGCCGACCUGAGAGGGUGAUCGGCCACACUGGAACUGAGACACGGUCCAGACUCCUACGGGAGGCAGCAGUAGGGAAUCUUCCGCAAUGGGCGAAAGCCUGACGGAGCAACGCCGCGUGAGUGAUGAAGGUCUUCGGAUCGUAAAACUCUGUUAUUAGGGAAGAACAAAUGUGUAAGUAACUAUGCACGUCUUGACGGUACCUAAUCAGAAAGCCACGGCUAACUACGUG
rnacentral:rRNA from 1 species